rnacentral:lncRNA from 1 species
GAUUGAUAGGUGCUAGGUAGCCAGAGAACAGUGUGAAGAGCAUAAAAAGAAUGGGCAAGGCACAGCAGUAAAGAGACAGAGUGCUCUAAAUCCAAGAACUGUGCAUUAUUCUGCAUAGGUGAAGAGUAGAGUGGAUGUGGGAAGUCAUAAGGGCUGAGACUAGAGAUGUAGGCAGGGACAAGAUGAUGCAAAGUCUCAUACAACAUUCUGAGGAAGACGUUUACCCUGAAAGAGAUUUUCUGUCAACUGUCUUCAUUUUCACCGUAAGAUUGAUAAGGACAUUUCUAAUUCAUUGGGCAUAGCAUUUUACUUCAUAAAAUCUGCAGUUUAAUUUCUUUGUUAAAAAAUGAACUGCACAGCAAAAGCAUGUGAGGAUAAGGAUUUCUGAAUGCUGUCAUGCACACCCUGGUGUUCCCAGCACCGAGCCAUUAAUGCAUCACUGCUGUCCUGUGCUGGAUGAGGGAGGAGAGAGAGUUAAGAGAAGCAGCUGGCUAAGGAGAGCCCCAGGGAUGAGCUCCCAGAGACACUUACCUGGAAAGAAGAAAGCAAUAGCCUUCAUCAUGUCUAGUCCCCUCUUGGCUCCCUGCACUGAAAUCCCAGGGAUCAGCUUGUUGCUGGACAUGCCACUAACUUCUGUGUCAAUGUACACAAACCCAGCACAGUUUGCCAGGAAAGCCGCUGUCUCAAGAAUAUCAAGGAGCGGAGUCUUUCCAGACCACAACUCCUCGCUCCAGGCGUUCGAAUCUGCCUCAAACAAAAGAGGAGACAACGGCGAAGGACGCCCCCCUGCCAUCCUCCUAUCUCACCAUGGCUCCCGCCUCGCUGCAAGCAGCCCCUCAAGGCCAAACGCAGGCUGGUGGGAAAACACCGACCUGCACAAGCUACAUGCGCCCUCUCCCCUACCCAAAACCCCGAAUAAAAAUCCCUACCCAUCCCUCAUCGGGGAGCUAGAAAUUUUUGAGGCAUGAGCCCCAGCUUUGCUCCCUAUGCCUGGCAUAGUAAAAAC